UACGGAGGGUGCGAGCGUUAUCCGGAAUUACUGGGUUUAAAGGGUGCGUAGGCGGCUUUGUAAGUCAGGAGUGAAAGUUUGCGGCUCAACCGUAAAAUUGCUUCUGAUACUGCAUGGCUAGAAUUAGGAUGAGGUCAGCGGAAUGUGGCAUGUAGCGGUGAAAUGCAUAGAUAUGCCAUAGAACACCAAGUGCGAAGGCAGCUGAGUAGACCUGGAUUGACGCUGAGGCACGAAAGCGUGGGGAGCGAACAGG
rnacentral:rRNA from 1 species